rnacentral:rRNA from 1 species
UACGUAGGUGGCAAGCGUUGUCCGGAUUUAUUGGGCGUAAAGCGCGCGCAGGCGGUCCUUUAAGUCUGAUGUGAAAUCUCGCGGCUCAACCGCGAGCGGUCAUUGGAAACUGGGGGACUUGAGUGCAGAAGAGGAGAGCGGAAUUCCACGUGUAGCGGUGAAAUGCGUAGAGAUGUGGAGGAACACCAGUGGCGAAGGCGGCUCUCUGGUCUGUAACUGACGCUGAGGAGCGAAAGCGUGGGGAGCGAACAGG